CUGGAGACUCCUCUUUUGUUUCCUUAGAUAUUUAUAGACCCAUGAAUUAUGGUCAUCUGGGUCUAAAAGACAUCCACUUCUUUGUGUACUCACAGAAUGACAAAAUAACUUAUACCUGACCAAGAUGGCUGCCAUUUCCAGCACUUUCUAGAGUUAUGAAGGUUUAUGACAGGCCACUCUCUGUUUCUAGGUUAUUGUAUCUCCAUGUGUGUACUGAUUUGAUUGCUGGUUCUUCUUCACAGGUUGCCUAACAUUGGCAACACUUGCUUCCUAAAUGCCACCCUGCAGUGCCUCCUGGUCCUGCCUUCCUUCUCAAAGGAAAUCCUACGCCAGGAACAACUCUGGAACUCCUCCCCCUUCUCCAACCUGCUCAGUGGCGCAAACCAGGCCUCAAAAGCAGACCUCAUUUGGAAGGUCAAGUACUCCUUGUCGGGAUAUGAUUUGAAGUAUCUGGGGGACACGCAACAGGACGCACACGAGUUACUUGUGAAUAUGCUGUGCUGUGCCAGCUGAAGGAGGAGGGAAUGAUACUGAAGACACUCGGGGUGAACUAUACCUGCCCUGUUUCCCAGCUGGAGUUCCAGCUUGUCUCAGUGCGCACAUGUACCAGGGCGAAAAGGUUGAAUGAAUUCACAUGUGCGGGCUGCAAAGGCCUCUACAGCUCAAAAGUGGAGCAGUUCCACACACUGCCUCUUGUGCUGGUUCUGCACCUGAAGAGGUUCGGAGGACCUGGGGGGUUGGAGAAGCUGGAGACUCCUCUUUUGUUUCCUUAGAUAUUUAUAGACCCAUGAAUUAUGGUCAUCUGGGUCUAAAAGACAUCCACUUCUUUGUGUACUCACAGAAUGACAAAAUAACUUAUACCUGACCAAGAUGGCUGCCAUUUCCAGCACUUUCUAGAGUUAUGAAGGUUUAUGACAGGCCACUCUCUGUUUCUAGGUUAUUGUAUCUCCAUGUGUGUACUGAUUUGAUUGCUGGUUCUUCUUCACAGGUUGCCUAACAUUGGCAACACUUGCUUCCUAAAUGCCACCCUGCAGUGCCUCCUGGUCCUGCCUUCCUUCUCAAAGGAAAUCCUACGCCAGGAACAACUCUGGAACUCCUCCCCCUUCUCCAACCUGCUCAGUGGCGCAAACCAGGCCUCAAAAGCAGACCUCAUGUGGAAGGUCAAGUACUCCUUGUCGGGAUAUGAUUUGAAGUAUCUGGGGGACACGCAACAGGACGCACACGAGUUACUUGUGAAUAUGCUGUGCUGUGCCAGCUGAAGGAGGAGGGAAUGAUACUGAAGACACUC